rnacentral:lncRNA from 1 species
CCUUGCCUCUCUGGUGCUCCAGUUUCCCAGUGGAACCCCUAUCCCACAAGAUCAUAGCAGGGAUCACAAAGGGUUUUCAGAUCCAGAAAUCUCAGUAUUUAGAAAUAUUGCUUCUGAAACACCAGAAGUACAAUCCAGUGUAUCAUAAAAACUAUAAAGUAUGUCCUAAGGACAUAGUGAACCAUCUGAGACAAUGGUGCAUUGGAAGCAUCAGUAGGAAACCUCAGUGGAUGCUUAGUAACUAAAGAUAUCGAUGAAAUAAUUUAAUGAUAUCUACAGCUAGCAUAAGAAGCACAAGAAGCUGCAACAAGGCUAUUUUUUCCAUGAGAAUGCCACCCCAAUUCCUUCUACCAACCCACUUUAUGAAGAGGAGUGAUUUGGCAGAUCUCUUGAAAAAAGAGACUAAACAACUCCUGAGUCGUAUUGCCAUGGAGAUACAAACACAAACAGAGCACCUCCUGCUGCUUACACAAGCUCCAAGGCACCAUACACCAAGAGAUGUAACAGACCCAGGAGCUCAGGGAUGCCUGGUGGUUCUGCUGAGCUGGCACACAGCACAUGGGGGCACCACUCUCAGCUCUGCAUCCCCUUCCAUCAGCAGCUUGGUGUGGCUGUCCUCCAGCAAGCACAAGGAUCUGAGCAGAAAUACAGCCAGAAACAGAAAACAGACAUGAACUGGGAACCAAUGGAAAAUCCACAGAUACCCAGAGAAUGGAUACUAGUAUGUUCCAAGCAGUUCACCCGCAAGCAGCUUUACCCACAGGGGCACACCAAGAAGCAUCCACACCCUUUCCAGUUCAAUCUGUCAUACGGCACACCAGAGCUCAGCUGCAUGACUAUAACACAGCUUACCUCAACUAAGCUGGCAGGCCGUGCCUGUCUAAUUAUAUACCUUUAACCAGCAGCAAACACAAGUUAAUUCAAAUUUCUUCAAAGAAAUCAGAUAAAGCCAAAUGAAAUUACAUUCCAUUUACCACAUGAGUGCACACAUCACCCAUUGCCACCACUAAACCCAUCAGCGUAACUCAUAGAAACUUGACUCCUCUGAAGACAGGUGUUCAACACUGCUAAAAGGUUUGAUUCUUUAGAGACUUCAGACAAACCCAAAUCCCCUCCAUUCAUCCCGCAGACCCCACCAGCUUUCUCUCUCUUUUUCCUGGAUGUCCCCAUAUCCACCUUUUUUCUAUGUCCCAUUUCUUCUCUCACUACUAUUCAUCCCCUACCCUACUAAUUCCCACUUUUCUGGUCUGUUGGGAUGGAGAAAUAGCAUGUGCCACUUGGCCAUUAGGAGUAAAGGAAGAUGACACAGAGAACAAGUAGGUCUGACCCAGGACAGCAUAACGAGACUCCUGAGCAGCUGUAGUGCACCUUUGGUUUGUGCAGCAGGCACUCAAGGGAUGUCUCUACCACCAGUGGGUCACAUACACAACCCAGACAGUCUAAAGAUAGUUUUUUUCCAACUAAUCUACUCUGGAGGUGUAAAAUGUACAUGUAAUUACAAUCAGAUGUUGAUAAAAAGUUUUAUAUAUGUCCAAUACCAUUAUAGUGAAAGGACCCAGGCUUCAGGUUUGGAUACCUGCUGAACUGGAGCCUUCUUGAACAGAGAUAAAAUUUGCAGUCUAAUUUGGUAAAUGCUUGUUUAAAUUGUAUGUAGUUACAGUGAUGUACAAAGGGCAAUAAAAUUAAUUUCCCUAUUUAACA